ACUCCUACGGGAGGCAGCAGUCGGGAAUAUUGCGCAAUGGAGGAAACUCUGACGCAGUGACGCCGCGUAUAGGAAGAAGGUUUUCGGAUUGUAAACUAUUGUCGUUAGGGAAGAUACAAGACAGUCCUAAGGAGGAAGCUCCGGCUAACUACGUGCCAGCAGCCGCGGUAAU
rnacentral:rRNA from 1 species